AGGGAAGUUGGUAACAGGGAGAGGUUUCCCCAGUAGCAUUAUCCCAUGGAGGAGUAUAAAGACACCAAGAAACAUGCCCUCCGCCACCACACACUGCAGGUGCUCGUACUACAGAAGUGAAUACCUAAGAAAUUUGCUAAGGGGAGGGCUGGCUCUAGGAAGCUAAACCCCCUUUCUCCAUCAUUGGCCAUCCAGUGCCUUCAGCUGGCAACGCUUACUACUGUGUUAUCCAACAUCCAGAAAUACCUCUAAGGCCCAGUUCUACUGCUGAGAAGCAGAAGCUAAAGAUAUAUCAGGAGCCAAUGGGCAAGGCAUCAUUUCUGACUUGAAACAAAAAGCAAUCUUCUCAUCAUACAUCCUGUGAGUAAGGCUGGAUGGCUGUACAAAUCAUUUUAGCCAUUGGAUCCGCAACCUCAGACAUCUCAGUGGCUCUGCCAAAUCCAGAGAGACAGCAUUUAACAGUUUGUAAAUGUAAUGGCCUACACACAGAUUCAGCAAAACAACUACCCCGUGCCGUGUGGGAGAAAUGUUGUCCAACAACACCAUGAGAGGAACAGAUUUGAGAGUUUCAUGGACUGGAGCUCAGUGUGAGUCACUAGCGUAGUGAAAAAAAAAAGGGA
rnacentral:lncRNA from 1 species